rnacentral:rRNA from 1 species
GUCCACGCGGUAAACGAUGAAUACUAGAUGUCGGGUAGCAAAGCUACUCGGUGUCGUCGCAAACGCAAUAAGUAUUCCACCUGGGGAGUACGUUCGCAAGAAUGAAACUCAAAGGAAUUGACGGGGACCCGCACAAGCGGUGGAUGAUGUUCUUUAAUUCGAUGCAACGCGAAAAACCUUACCCACCUUUGACAUGUAUGGAAUCCUUUAGAGAUGAAGGAGUGCUCGAAAGAGAGCCAUAACACAGGUGCUGCAUGGCUGUCGU